CCUACGGGUGGCAGCAGUGGGGGAUAUUGCACAAUGGGGGAAACCCUGAUGCAGCAACGCCGCGUGAAGGAAGAAGGUCUUCGGAUUGUAAACUUUUGUCUUGUGGGAAGAUAAUGACGGUACCACAGGAGGAAGCUCCGGCUAACUACGUGCCAGCAGCCGCGGUAAUACGUAGGGAGCGAGCGUUGUCCGGAUUUACUGGGUGUAAAGGGUGCGUAGGCGGCUAGACAAGUCAGGUGUGAAAUACCGCAGCUCAACUGCGGGGCUGCACUUGAAACUGUAGAGCUUGAGUGAUGGAGAGGUAAGCGGAAUUCCUAGUGUAGCGGUAAAAUGCGUAGAUAUUAGGAGGAACACCAGUGGCGAAGGCGGCUUACUGGACAUUAACUGACGCUGAGGCACGAAAGCGUGGGGAGCAAACAGGAUUAGAUACCCUUGUAGUC
rnacentral:rRNA from 1 species